CGGGGUGUAGCGCAGGCUGGUAGCGCACCUGCAUGGGGCGCAGGAGGUCGUAGGUUCAAAUCCUGCCACCCCGACCA
rnacentral:tRNA from 1 species